rnacentral:rRNA from 1 species
CACGUAGGGCGCAAGCGUUGUCCGGAAUUAUUGGGCGUAAAGAGCUCGUAGGCGGACUGUCACGUCUGCUGUGAAAAGCUAGGGCUUAACCCUGGCCUUGCAGUGGAUACGGGCAGACUAGAGGUAGGUAGGGGAGAAUGGAAUUCCCGGUGUAGCGGUGAAAUGCGCAGAUAUCGGGAGGAACACCGGUGGCGAAGGCGGUUCUCUGGGCCUUACCUGACGCUGAAGCACGAAAGCGUGGGGAGCAAACAGG